rnacentral:rRNA from 1 species
AUUGAACGCUGGCGGCAUGCCUUAUACAUGCAAGUCGAACGGCAGCACGGGAGCAAUCCUGGUGGCGAGUGGCGAACGGGUGAGUAAUAUAUCGGAACGUGCCCAGUCGUGGGGAUAACGUAGCGAAAGCUACGCUAAUACCGCAUACGAUCUAUGGAUGAAAGCGGGGGAUCGCAAGACCUCGCGCGAUUGGAGCGGCCGAUAUCAGAUUAGGUAGUUGGUGAGGUAAAGGCUCACCAAGCCGACGAUCUGUAGCUGGUCUGAGAGGACGACCAGCCACACUGGGACUGAGACACGGUCCAGACUCCUACGGGAGGCAGCAGUGGGGAAUUUUUGGACAAUGGACGCAAGUCUGAUCCAGCCAUUCCGCGUGCAGGAUGAAGGCCCUCGGGUUGUAAACUGCUUUGUACGGAACGAAAGGUUUCUAUUAAUACUAGGAGCUCAUGACGUACCGUAAGAAUAAGCACGGCUAACUACGUGCCAG